UGGGGAAUAUUGCACAAUGGAGGGAACUCUGAUGCAGCGACGCCGCGUGAGUGAUGAAGGAAUUCGUUUCGUAAAACUCUGUUCUAUGGGAAGAAAAGGACUGUACCAUAGGAGAAAGCUCCGGCUAAAUACGUGCCAGCAGCCGCGGUAAUACGUAUGGAGCGAGCGUUGUCCGGAAUUAUUGGGCGUAAAGGGUGCGCAGGCGGCUUUACAAGUUGGAUGUGAAAUAUUGUGGCUCAACCACAAACGUGCAUCCAAAACUGCAAAGCUUGAGUUAAGGAGAGGUAAGUGGAAUUCCUGGUGUAGCGGUGUAAUGCGUAGAUAUCAGGAGGCAUACCGGUGGCGAAGGCGACUUACUGGACUUAAACUGACGCUCAGGCACGAAAGCGUGGGGAGCAAACAGG
rnacentral:rRNA from 1 species